UGACAGAAGUACACAGAGGAGAUACAGCGUCCCCAAAGGGACCUGGCAGCAACCAGAGACAGGAAUAGAAUUUUCGUGGACCAGGAGCACUAUAGAAGUACACAGAGGAGAUACAGCGUCCCCAAAGGGACCUGGUAGCAACCAGAGACAGGAAUAGAAUUUUCGUGGACCAGGAGCACUAUAGAAUGAUGGAAGUGAGGCUGACCAGCCAAUCACAAGACAUCCUAGAAAAAGAAGCACAAGUAGAGUCCCUGAACGCAAAGAUUUCCACCAUGACAGAACUUUUUG